GAUAAUAUAGUUAAAAGGUAUAACCUUGUGCUCAUGCCACAAUGUUCCAAGUUCGAUUCUUGGUAUUAUCU
rnacentral:tRNA from 1 species